CCUCGGCAGCACUGCGAGGUGUGCGGUCGCACGGAUCGCAGCGCAGCUCUCGCUCCGAGAGGUGUUUGAUAUUUGGAAAGCGCGUGUUUGUCUGGACCCUCACUCUGUGAGGUGUUCAGUGUUUGGAAAACCUCUGUUUUACUGGACCCUCACUCUGUGAGGUGUUCAUUGUCCAGAAAUACCAUACUUACCUGGACCAUCACUGCGUGAGGCCUUCCUUGUUCGGAAAGCCUGUGUUUAUCGGGACCCUCACUCUGUGAGGUGUUCACUAUUUGGGAAGCCUCUGUCUAUCUGGACCACCACUCCGUGAGGCAUUCGUUGUCUGGAAAGACUGUUUGCACAAGAGAGGCUGACUCAAAUUGGAGUCUCUCAUAAUGGAACCCCCAGACAAGGGGAAGAACGACGAGAGCUUGUCCAAGAAGAACAGAGACUUGCUUCGUCUGGAGGCGCAAGAGAAGAGGAGACGGGAGGCUCCAGGGGAGAAAGACCAGUUCCCUGGGAAGACUCCCAUCUUUGCAAAACCCCACAAGACUGAUAACAAAGAUGCGCUGUCAAAGC